CMAGAUGGCUCCGACCCCCCGCACGGAGCAAUCCGGCGUCGGGGUGGCAACGGUUUUCACUCGGCCAGGUUGUGGUGGCGAGGUCGGUGGGCCGCACUUCUCCCCCUGUUGGACGUCGCGACCCGUUGGGUGUCGGUCUAAGGCCCGGGUGGUAGUCUGUCCGUCCGCGUCGCAAGACGUGCUCGUCGGGCAGACCCCUGGUGUUCCCGGCCGACGGCUCGACGGUAUCUGUGCGUGGAGUUGAUUCGCCGCCUCUCGGGGCGGGCGUCCGGCCCUCGGCAAGCAUGUGCGUGGGGCACAGAUGACGGACCUCUGGCCCGGCUCUGGUCCCGCCCGGCUGUUGGUUUCGAGUGUGCCUCGGACUGAAGAAACUCUCGUCAGCGGCGCAAAAGCUUCGGGUAAUUUCACGACCCGUCUUGAAACACGGACCAAGGAGUCUAACAUGUGCGCGAGUCAUUGGGUUGAAACUAAACCUAAAGGCGCAAUGAAAGUGAAGGUCCCACCUCGUGGGACCGAGGGAAGAUGGGGUCCAAGGGGCUCCCGCAUUCCCGGGGCGUCUCGUACUCAUUGCGAGUUGAGGCGCACCCAGAGCGUACACGUUGGGACCCGAAAGAUGGUGAACUAUGCCUGGCCAGGACGAAGUCAGGGGAAACCCUGAUGGAGGUCCGUAGCGAUUCUGACGUGCAAAUCGAUCGUCGGAGCUGGGUAUAGGGGCGAAAGACUAAUCGAACCAUCUAGUAGCUGGUUCCCUCCGAAGUUUCCCUCAGGAUAGCUGGUGCUCGAACGAGUCUCAUCCGGUCAAGCGAAUGAUUAGAGGCCUUGGGGCCGAAACGACCUCAACCUAUUCUCAAACUUUAAAUGGGUGAGAUCUCCGGCUUGCUUAAAGCAAUGAAGCCGCGAGAUUUUGAUUUGGAUCGGAGUGCCAAGUGGGCCACUUUUGGUAAGCAGAACUGGCGCUGUGGGAUGAACCAAACGCAGAGUUAAGGCGCCCGAAUAGACGCUCAUGGGAAACCAUGAAAGGCGUUGGUUGCUUAAGACAGCAGGACGGUGGCCAUGGAAGUCGGAAUCCGCUAAGGAGUGUGUAACAACUCACCUGCCGAAGCAACUAGCCCUGAAAAUGGAUGGCGCUGAAGCGUCUUGCCUAUACUCUGCCGUCAGCACGGCAAUGAGGGGUGCGCGGUUCGGGAGGAGCAAUCCUUUCCGGCCCGCCCCGUGAAGCCCUGACGAGUAGGAGGGUCGCGGCGGUGAGCGCAGAAGGGUCUAGGCGCGAGCCUGCCUGGAGCCGCCGUCGGUGCAGAUCUUGGUGGUAGUAGCAAAUACUCCAGCGAGGCCCUGGAGGACUGACGUGGAGAAGGGUUUCGUGUGAACAGCCGUUGCACACGAGUCAGUCGAUCCUAAGCCCUAGGAGAAAUCCGAUGUCGAUGGGGUCCGAGACAUGAAAAGAGUGUGGACCCCAUGGGGCGAAAGGGAAUCCGGUUCCUAUUCCGGAACCCGGCAGCGGAACCGUAAAAAGUCGGGCCCCUCGCAAGAGUAGCUCGUCGGGGUAACCCAAAAGGACCCGGAGACGCCGUCGGGAGAUCGGGGAAGCGUUUUCUUUUCUGCAUGAGCGUUCGAGKUCCCUGGAAUCCUCUAGCAGGGAGAUAGGGUUGGAACGCGAAGAGCACCGCAGUGCG
rnacentral:rRNA from 1 species